AUGUUCCGACAAAUUUCCGAAAUUUUAUCUACCACUCCUACCCCCCCUCCUGUUGACAAUAAUGCUGCUGAUAUGUGUAGGGACUUUGGUAGUAUUGGUUUGCUAUUACAGGUCAUCAAAUCAUUUUCUGGCUGUGCUCCACCUUUUAACCACCUCUUUUGUUCUCUAGUUGGUGCGGCUUUCUGUUCGUUUAUAAGCACAUCAAGUGGUAUUUGCAUUGAGGAGUCAGACAUUAAUGUGUCUAUAGUUUGUUGUGCUGCUGCUUUUGCGGCUUUGAUCUGCAAGUUAUUGCCUUCAGUGACCUCUGAACUGUUUUGGCAAUAUAAACACUUCCAACAGUGUCUUUAGAAGAUCUCAAAGUGUUGAAAAAACAUACUGUCUGUCAGUGUAUAUAUUUAUAUCUUGGCCUGCGUGUGUGAGGAUGUCAACGGUUUCGCUUCUACAACUCUAUCUGCUGUGGUUACUGCAUAGCCUACACAGUUCAACGACACCAGCCUGUGGGGUGCUGUGAAGGUCAGCGCGUGAUACAGCAUACAGCAAUUCUGAUGUGUGACAGUGUGAGCAAAAUGCCUACAUAGGAAAGUUGUCUGGCAUGUGUCGAACUUCUGAGGUAGGAAAAACCUUGCAUUGCUUACAGUUCAUAGCUCACAGCUCUAAAACUAGGCAUCAGCAAACAAACAAAAAUAAAACAAAUUGCCUAUGGCCUAAGGCUUUGCGUUCAUAUUAAUUGAGUGUAAGCUGCUUUCUUCAUUGCAAGUGUUUAUUGCCAUAAGGUUUAAUUCAUGCAUCAUAUCACUGAGUUCUAAGUUCAAAUUAUCUCUUCUGACCCUUUCCAAAAAUAAUUUCACAUAUAACAAUUUGAGUAUGUGUUGUCUACUCAUUCUAUUCAUAGAGUCUAUUCAUAGAGUUCUGUUUCUCUCUGCGAGCUGUCUUGACACACCACAGGCACACAUAUAUAUUUAUAUACAUAUUUCCUGUUUCUGCAGACUAAUCGAACUCUUUUGUUUCUCUUUGUAUUCAUAGUCUAUAAACCCUCUUUAAUUCUGCUAAAUCUUGAUCUAAGAUAUAUAGAGGUCACUCACUGUACAUCCACAGUAAUGAAUUCAAACUCUAUUUAUACAAUUGUAGUGAGCAAAACCAGCAUCUCCAUGCGCGUCACCGCUCCUCAUUAGCUUAGUAGUGUCCACAUAUUUAAUUCAGCUUCUCAUUAGUUGUUAGUAUAGGUCUUCAUGUUAACAAAGUCUCAUCUAAGAUGACAGGUUUACAAGCAGGUCAAGUGUCUCUAUGCACCUGAUUAGUGUAGUUAUUUCUUUAUUUUCUUCAUCUCCUAUAUCAUUGUACUGAGUUUGAGCAAACCUUAAGCUUGAAUCAGACUACUUUUAACAAUCUUCCACCUCACAUCAUAACUGACUGAGGUGCCUCUUCUUAUUAAUAGUAUGUCAUUGUUAAUGUUAUCAUUGUAUUGUUUUUCCUUUUUUAUAACAGCAAUAGUAUAUUACAGUACACUACUUUACUACUAAUAUACAAUAGUAUAUUAGUUUAUAUUUUAUUAUGUAUCCAUCAAAGGCCUGUGUGAAUCUGCAGCUUCACACCUUCCCAAGCUGGAGACAUUUUCCUUGGCUGAACAAUGACGCAGCCUUAAUAUGCCUUAUGCAUCUCUCUUUUUAUUUGAUAUAUUUUCGUGUGAAUUAUCUGGUUUCACGCAUUCUAUUCAUUCUAGGCACGGUCAUCAUGCCAACUAUGUUUCAUUGUUAAUACCAGUUUACAGGUUGUUAUCCUUCCUAUUAUCUCCUAUUAUCAUGCUUAUCGCAGAUAAGCUCUACUUUAAGUUAACCUUAAUUUAACCUUUUGUUUAUUCCACUUCAUUCCACUUUCUAUGCUUUAAAAUACAACUCUUGUGUACUCUUAGUUUUCUUUUUAGGAGCCUUUUCAGUAUUUAUUUCUGCUUGGAGGGUUUCUUAUAAUUUAGUUAAUGCAUUUUCCCUCCCACGUGGGACAUUUAGGUUUUCUUUGGAUUUCUCCAUCUGCAUGCACUAAUUUGUCCGGCACCUGGACAUUUUUUCUCUAACCACUGCUCGUCAGCAGUGAGUUUUGAAGCUUCAUUACCCAUUUUAAUCCUUUUAAUUUUAACACUUUACAACUACACAACUGCGGCACCUUCUCUGGCACGAGAAUCGAGAGAGGGAGGUAGUUGACACGGCCUUCUACUUUCAAGCUAUUCUUGAAAGCGGUGUCACCUUUACGUGAUGAAACACGACCUGUUUCUCUCUUUUCACCAGUACUUGGGUGGCCAACAGCAAACAAAAUAGUGGAAUAGUUCAGCCUCCUUAUUGUGCUGUAAAAUCAACUUAUUCCACCAACAAAAAUAAAACAACAGCAAUACCUUUUCAACACGUACUACGUUUUAUGGACGAGGUUUAUCUAAAAUAGCUUCCAGCCCCUUUUUCAGGCGAGCGUUUACAUUUAGGAAUGCUACCAACCCCUCUGGGCGAGCCUAGACGUUUUACGCGAGGUGUCUGAGUGUUAAUAUUCACCUGGUUGCUGCCGGUCUCUCAGGUUUACCUCAUCGACCCCCACCGCCGUGGACCACUUAUAAGAACGCCGGCCAGAACCCGAAUUCACAUCUCUGGACUUUAUCCUGUACCUGGACAGGAGCUGUCGACAGACUUCAGCGCGGGCUUCUCACGACGUCAGGGCUCGAUGAGGCUUUCCUGUGGGGUCACACAAAAGUGCUGUGUCCCAUCCGGCUCGAAGGACCAAGAAAUGUCAGGAGUUUUUCCUGUGUUGCAACCCAGGUCGGAAUAAAAAGGCUCAGACAGGUUUACGUGUACACGGUCGAGACUCAGGGAGACUCGCACCCAGUGCAAUAGUUGUCAGCCUUUUAUUCAUAGCAUUCUCAGAGACGUACAGGAAGAGAUAAAAUAGAACUGUGCUGCAGGCUUCCUGUUGAGUCUGCACAGAGUGUAACUUCCCCAUUUAAGCUGAAUACUGAAAGAGCAAACACAUUUAGAUAAUGAAAUGUACUUUUAAGCAUAACAUAAUAAAAAUCCUAAAAUCCUAAGAAAUCCCUUAACAUCAUAUGAAACAAUAAACAUCUCCAUCAGGAGUGUUGCUAGAAUCUUUUAUAUAGUAAACGGUCAAACGCUGAGCACCGACUCAAGGUCAAAGUCAGGCUUUGUUGGGCUCUCUUUAACAAACAAUCAGUUCAAUAUGAGUUCUUCACCUUUGUUACAUUUCUUUCAGCAGCAGUAUUCAAACCUGGAUGCUGCUGAAGCCGUCAGAUUACACAGUCAGGUGCAACAUUACAUUCACUGAAAUGUAUCCAUCCCCACUCUCAUAGUUUCAGCAUCUACUGGGCCAUAAUGGUUCUUUUUAAACUGGGAACAACUCCGUCUCCUGUUUUGGUGCCUCAUCAUCUCCUCCUGUUAUGAUAACAAAAUAAUGCAGUCACCAUAUGCUAACAAAGUAUCUAAAACCAAAGUUUUAAGGUAAUUAUUACAUAUUUAAUAAAUAACAG
rnacentral:lncRNA from 1 species